rnacentral:rRNA from 1 species
GACGAACGCUGGCGGCGUGCCUAAUACAUGCAAGUCGAGCGGACUUAAAAAGCUUGCUUUUUAAGUUAGCGGCGGACGGGUGAGUAACACGUGGGCAACCUGCCUGUAAGACUGGGAUAACUUCGGGAAACCGGAGCUAAUACCGGAUAAUCCUUUCCUACUCAUGUAGGAAAGCUGAAAGACGGUUUACGCUGUCACUUACAGAUGGGCCCGCGGCGCAUUAGCUAGUUGGUGAGGUAACGGCUCACCAAGGCGACGAUGCGUAGCCGACCCGCGAGGGUGCUCGGCCACAAUGGGACUGAGACACGGCCCAGACUCCUACGGGAGGCAGCAGUAGGGAAUCUUCCGCAAUGGACGAAAGUCUGACGGAGCAACGCCGCGUGAGUGAUGAAGGUUUUCGGAUCGUAAAACUCUGUUGUUAGGGAAGAACAAGUACGAGAGUAAUUGCUCGUACCUUGACGGUACCUAACCAGAAAGCCACGGCUAACUACGUGCCAGCCGCCGCCGUAA